rnacentral:rRNA from 1 species
UUAGAUACCCUAGUAUUAGAAAUGUUAUUUAAAAUUAGUAUUGGAAAAGAAAUUUAAUAAUUUUGGCGGUUAAUUGUUAUUUGGAGGAGCUUGUAUUUUGAUAGAAUUUGCUCUUUAUAUUUUACUAAUAAUUGAUCUAUUCAUCUCCGUUAUUAAUUUUUGAAGGAGAAGGUUUGAAUAAAUUAUUAUUUAAUAUUUCAGGUCAAGAUGUAGUUUUUAUUAAGGGAAUAUUAGCUACAUUUAUGAAAUUAGUGGAUUGUACAGAAAAUUUAUAGGUAUCUUAUAUGAGAAAUUGAAUUUAGUUGUAACAGUGAAAAUUCAAUUAUUGUGAAUAAAUUUGAUUAAUGUAUAUAUUGCCCGUCACUUCUAUUAAUAUAGAAUAAGUCGUAACAAAGUA